UGAACGCUGGCGGUAGGCCUAACACAUGCAAGUCGAACGGCAGCACAGUAAGAGCUUGCUCUUACGGGUGGCGAGUGGCGGACGGGUGAGGAAUACAUCGGAAUCUACUUUUUCGUGGGGGAUAACGUAGGGAAACUUACGCUAAUACCGCAUACGACCUACGGGUGAAAGCAGGGGAUCUUCGGACCUUGCGCGAUUGAAUGAGCCGAUGUCGGAUUAGCUAGUUGGCGGGGUAAAGGCCCACCAAGGCGACGAUCCGUAGCUGGUCUGAGAGGAUGAUCAGCCACACUGGAACUGAAACACGGUCCAGACUCCUACGGGAGGCAGCAGUGGGGAAUAUUGGACAAUGGGCGCAAGCCUGAUCCAGCCAUACCGCGUGGGUGAAGAAGGCCUUCGGGUUGUAAAGCCCUUUUGUUGGGAAAGAAAAGCAGCAGGUUAAUACCCCGCUGUUCUGACGGUACCCAAAGAAUAAGCACCGGCUAGCUUCGUG
rnacentral:rRNA from 1 species